rnacentral:misc_RNA from 1 species
AAGUCGUAACAAGGUUUCCGUAGGUGAACCUGCGGAAGGAUCAUUACAGAGAACCUGCCCUUCGGGGUAGAUCUCCCACCCUUUGUUUAUUUACCUUUGUUGCUUUGGCAGGCCCGUCCUUGGACGCUGGCUUCGGCCGGCCUGCGCCUGCCAGAGGACCCUAAACUCUUGUUUAAUUGUCGUCUGAGUAUCAAAAUAAUCAUUAAAA